CAACCCUCAAGCAAUGCUUGGUAUUGGGCUUCGCUGCUCACUAGCGGGUCUUAAAAUCAGUGGCGGUGCCGUCGGGCCCUGAGCGCAGUAAAUAUCCUCGCUACAGGGACUCGGUGGACGCUGGCCAUCAACCCCCCACUCUCUCA
rnacentral:misc_RNA from 1 species